rnacentral:rRNA from 1 species
GUUUGAACUAGGGGCCCGUCAAGGGUUACUGAAUUCAGAUAAACUCCGAAUACCAUUGAUCUUACUCCGGGAGUCAGACAGUGAGCGAUAAGGUCCAUUGUCGAAAGGGGAACAGCCCAGAUCACCAGUUAAGGUCCCUAAAUUUAUGCUAAGUGGAAAAGGAUGUGGCGUUGCACAGACAACUAGGAUGUUGGCUCAGAAGCAGCCACCAUUUAAAGAGUGCGUAAUAGCUCACUAGUCGAGUGGCACUGCGCCGAAAAUAUACCGGGGCUAAGCAUAAUACCGAAACUGUGGGUGCACCCGUCAGGGUGCGCGGUAGGAGAGCGUUCUAAGGGCGUUGAAGGUCGAUCGUGAGGACGGCUGGAGCGCUUAGAAGUGAGAAUGCCGGCAUGAGUAGCGAAAGAUCAGUGAGAAUCUGAUCCACCGUAUGACUAAGGUUUCCUGGGGAAGGCUCGUCCUCCCAGGGUUAGUCGGGAUCUAAGGCGAGGCCGCAAGGCGUAGUCGAUGACAAGCAGGUUGAGAUUCCUGCACUAGUUUAUUUUGUUUAAGCGAUGGAGGGACGCAGGAGGCUAAGGAAAGCGCACGGCUGGAAAAGUGCGUCCAAGCAGUAAGUCCGGUAGCGAGUGAAAUGCUUGCCGCCUUAAGGACAAGCUGUGAUGGGGAGCGAAAUUAAAGUAGCGAAGUUCCUGAUGUCACACUGCCAAGAAAAGCUUCUAGUGAGAAAUAAACUACCCGUACCGCAAACCGACACAGGUAGUCGAGGAGAGUAUCCUCAGGUGAGCGAGCGAACUCUCGUUAAGGAACUCGGCAAAAUGACCCCGUAACUUCGGAAGAAGGGGUGCUGACCGCAAGGUCAGCCGCAGUGAAUAGGCCCAAACAACUGUUUAUCAAAAACACAGGUCUCUGCUAAAUCGUAAGAUGAUGUAUAGGGGCUGACGCCUGCCCGGUGCUGGAAGGUUAAGAGGAUGAGUUAGCGCAAGCGAAGCCCAGAAUUGAAGCCCCAGUAAACGGCGGCCGUAACUAUAACGGUCCUAAGGUAGCGAAAUUCCUUGUCGGGUAAGUUCCG